rnacentral:rRNA from 1 species
AUUGAACGCUGCGGCAGGCCUAACACAUGCAAGUCGAGCGCGCGCCGGACGGGUGCGUAAUGCUUAGGUCUCUGCCUAUUCGUGGGGGACAAGAUCUCGAACGGGAAGCUAAUACCGCAUACUAUUGGAUGAGCCUAGGUCGGAUUAGCUAGGUGGUGGGGUAAAGGCCUACCAAGGCGACGGUCUGUAGCGGGUCUGGGAGGAUGAUCCGCCACAAUGGGACUGGGGAACGGGCCAGGAUCCUACGGGGGGCAGCAGUGGGGAAUAUUGGAAAAAUGGGGGAACCCUGAUCGAGCCAUGCCGGGUGUUUUAAGAAAGCCUUAUGGUUGUAAAGCACUUGAAGCGAGGAGGCGUUACUCGCAGAAUAAGCACCGGCUAACUCUGUGCCAGCAGCCGCGGUAAUAC